AGUGAACGCUGGCGGUAGGCCUAACACAUGCAAGUCGAGCGGCAGCACAGUAAUAGCUUGCUCUGACGGGUUGCGAGUGGCGGACGUGUGAGGAAUACAUCGUAAUCUACUUUUUCGUGGGGGAUAACGUAGGGAAACUUACGCUAAUACCGCAUACGACCUACGGUUGAAAGCAGGGGAUCUUCGGACCUUGCGCGAUUGAAUGAGCCGAUGUCGGAUUAGCUAGUUGGCGGGGUAAAGGCCCACCAAGGCGACGAUCCGUAGCUGGUGUGAGAGGCUGAUCAGCCACACUGGAACUGAGACACGGUCCAGACUCCUACGGGAGGCAGCAGUGGGGAAUAUUGGACAACGGGGGCAAGCCUGAUACAGUCAUCCCGAGUGGGUGAAGAAGGCGUCCGGGUCGUAAAGACCUUUUGUUGGGAAAGAAAAGCAGCCGGUUAAUACGAAGCUGUUCUGACGGUAAUGAAAGAAUAAGCACCGGCUAACUUCGUG
rnacentral:rRNA from 1 species